UCCUGAUGGCUCACAUGAAGUUUCGUGCCGUUCCGACCUCGUUUGAUACGGUUAUGGUUAACCACACGGCCCCUCGGGCCCGACCCGAGCCCAGUCAACGUUUUGACCCGAUCAAAUCGGCCCGUGACCCGAAACGACCCUACUUGGGCCCUACAACAGCCACGUAAAGUUUCGGGAUGAUCCGACGUUCUUUCAUGGGGUUACGGACAAUCCACGCCAAACAAGCGUCACGGGCCGACCGAGCCGGGCCAACGGGCCCUCGGGACCCGAAAACUGAAUUUUUUUUCAUCCAAACCCAUUAAAACACGUUACCGAGGUCUCACGCAAAAUUUCAUGCCAAUCCGACGUCGUUUGAUGGGGUUUUGAGAUAUUAUGAUUCCUCAAAAAUUUAAUGUCUGUUCCUGUCACUUAGCUUUUUGUGCAAAAUGUAUAUAUAGGGGAGGGGUGGGUGUUGAGCAGCCCAUGCCCGGGCAAGGCAUGCCAGCGCCCAAGCCAAAGGAGGCUGGUGGCGUGCGUAUAACAGCUCAAAUGCCCCAACGAUGACCGAGAACAAGCGCCCAUCUCCCCUCCUUCCCCCCCACCAAGCGCCCCUCCCCCCCCCCAUGUUGCCUGCCCACUCGCACAGCUACUCGUGAUUUCAUGCCCAGCGACUAGUGAAUGUGCCUCGACGACCAGCAAACCUCGAAAAUUAUGAUUCCUCGUAAAAUUAAUGUCUGUUCCUGUCACUUUACUUUUUGUGCAAAAUGUAUAUAUAGGGGAGACCAGGGGCUUGAGCAACCCCUGUGCCCAAGCAAGGGUCAGAUGGAAGCACACGAGACGCGAGGUUUAAAGCCUAUACAAGCAAGGCGUCUGUCUCCCCAAGCCCCAUUGCCUAUAAAACAAGCCCGAUGCCUUGUAAAUGCCCCACACGAUGCCUAUAAACGACAACGAUGUUUGCUAGUUAAUCGAUCGACGCCCCACACCUUGCAGCAUGUUGCCUAGUAAACAAGCCAUGCUGCCUUGGAAGCGCCCCACAUCAUGGCAUGUUGCCUAGCACGCUGCCCUUGUUUCCAGCACGGCGACCUGAAAGCGUGGCCUGACGACGUGCUUGCCUUCGAAAAUUAUGAUUCCUCAAAAAAUUAAUGUCUGUUCCUGUCACUUUACUUUUUGU
rnacentral:rRNA from 1 species